UUGUAUAAGUGAGCACCACAUCACAGCCACGUAUGAAAAUAUUUACAUGAAAAAAUAUAUUAAAGGAAAGAUCCUCACAACCUGCAUUCGAACCCGGGGGAUCAAAACAUCAAAAUAGUACCCUUGUGGCUGCUCUUAAUAUAUUUUUUCAUGUAAAUGUCUCAUCUCAGCGCGCAGAGUUUUCUGUGAAAUGCUCCGCUUGUAUUCACGUCUCCGUAGCGGUUAUACAUGAGAUAUAACUGGGCUGCGGGUUCAUAACUUUUAGUGUGGUGUCAGAGACUGAUGUUGUUCACCGGUAACGUUACGUCUGUUUGAGGACAGAGUUGAGAUACAUCACUUCAUGUUUCAAUUUAACUGUAACGUCUUGUCUGUAUCCGCAGAGUGCAUCCUGUGCAUUAAAACUAACGAUCUUUAUAUUUAUUUCAUCGAUAGACAAUGUAAAUCUAACCGUAGCACCAUCGAUGCCUGCAUCAUAUUACAUUACAUUACGACUCACAAUAAGUGCAUUUCAACCAUAAGGAUACAAACUGCAAAGAACAGGAAACAGGAAAGUGCAAUUUCAUUAAAUAACAGAUUCACAAUUGGCUAUAGAUCCAUUAUAAUUACAAUGGCUCUACAAGUGCUAUAAUUUGUUAGUCUUUUUUUAUCAUAGAUAUUAAAUUAAAUACUAUGUUAAUCACUAAUGAUGUCACCUAUCUUACUGUAGCCUCAUUGAUCACUGUAUCAUAGAUAUUAAAUACUAAGAGGUUAAUCAAUAAUGAUGUCAUUUAUCUUACGGUAUGUAGCCUCAUUGAUCACUAUAUUAUAUACAUAAAAUACUAUGAGGUUAAUCACUAUCACUAUUAAUGUAGACACACAGAAGAUGUACAUCACCAGGUACAUCACCGAUUUAAUUUAUAGUGAUGUUUGUGCAUUUAACUGUACGAGGACUACUACACUGAUUAUCGCCCUCUUGACUUGAUGACGUCACUACAUUAGCCGGCUUAACUAACAAGCUUCUGUUUUGUUUUUGUUUUUUUAAGUUGUAUACAUAAUGGCGCACCAGAGUAGACAUAUUUUAUAUAUAUACAUAUAUAUAGAGAGAGAAAAUAAUUUUUAACGAAGAAGGAGCAGCUGUAGUUUGUGGUGCUGCUGAACUUUACUGCAUUACACUGACAGGUGUAUGUAUAUCUGAUAUAUUAUUGCAUAUUGGAUUAGCGAAAUAAAUAAAACCUUCUGUGGUAAACAUUUAAUUCAUGGCUGUUGUAUUACAUCACAUUUUAUUAGCUUUAUAAAGUUCUCAUAAAGUACAGAGAAGGUUUGAUGCAGCAAAUUAAUCAGUUAAUAUUUUAAUGGGCUACAUUCCACAUACACAACUACCGAGAGGCUGAUAUUCAGUGUGGUAGUCCUCGUCCAAUUAAAUAGGUGAACUUGACAUUGUCAAAUAAUGAAAUAAAUACAAACACAUUCAAGCCAACCACACAUGAAAUAUCUUACAGAAAAACAUUCAAUUAUUCAUAUAUGUAAAAUAUUUAUUUAUUAUUGUUACAAUUCCCUACGAGUCCCUUUGAAGCUGAAGUCCUGCUGUUGGGGAGUUGGAGGGUCUCCUCAUGUGCUCUAGUAGUAAAUAUUACUGUUGGAAAAACUUGCAAAUAAUGUGUGUCAUGAUAUCAAUAAGGCUGUACUACUCAAGGUUUUUGCUACCGUCAGCUGACAGACAUCUUGUCAGCCGGGAUGAGGGGCGCUGGCCUCAGGAACCAUCCCUAUGUUUUGAUGCCAUAUCUGCAGUAUAUAUUCCUGCUCCAAAGAGGAGAACCUUUGAGCUUGGUACAUAACUUGUAUGUGUGUCCAAACAUCAAAUAACCUGUUUUGAUGAUUUUACGCCAGUGUCAAGUAAGAAUUUUUCUAACAUAAUUGGUUCUUUGAGCCGGAUUUGAACAACUCUUUUUUCCUCUCAAGGUUGGACCUGAAACCGUACGGGGGAGACUGGGACUCUUUUCCAAUAAGUCCUCCGCCCCAAGUCCGUUACAGGAUUGGUUUGGAUAGUUGAGAGGCCAGGAUCUACUCAAGGGAGCCAGGAGUAAGCAGAAUCAAGCUCAAGGACAGCAAUGUGUGUGGCACCUGGAGUCACAAAAAAUUAAAAAAACUAAUAUUUGUGAAAUAAAAUAUUAAUAAUAA